rnacentral:rRNA from 1 species
UACAGAGGUCUCAAGCGUUGUUCGGAUUUAUUGGGCGUAAAGAGCUCGUAGGCGGUUGGGUAAGUCGGGUGUGAAAACUCCAGGCUCAACUUGGAGACGCCACCCGAUACUGCUCUGACUUGAGUUCGGUAGGGGAGUGGGGAAUUCCUGGUGUAGCGGUGAAAUGCGCAGAUAUCAGGAGGAACACCAGAGGCGAAGGCGGGUUACUGGGCUGAUACUGACGCUGAUGCGCGAAAGCUAGGGGAGCGAACAGG